rnacentral:lncRNA from 1 species
GUGGCGGGCAUCACCACAACCCUACCCCAUCGCCUCCUUCAGGAGGCCAUGGAGGUGGUGGUUACUAUCCCUCCCCUCCAUCUCAUAGUGGAAGCCCUCCAAGUACUCCUACACCUACACCUAGUACCCCCAGUACACCAUCCACCCCCUCCACACCUACUAUUGUCACCCCGCCUACACCUCCUACCAUUGACCCUGGCACUCCAAGCACUCCAGGGGGUGGUUACUAUGGUGGAAGUCCUCCAAGUAUUCCUACACCUAGUACCCCUAGUAUUACACCCACUACCCCUUCUACACCUAUCAUUGAAACACCACCAACUACUCCUGUCGUUGAAACACCACCAACUACUCCUACUAUUGAUCCAGGCACUCCAAGUGCUCCAGGAGUCUUUCCAAUUGACCCCAACUCACCACC